rnacentral:rRNA from 1 species
GACGAACGCUGGCGGCGUGCUUAACACAUGCAAGUCGAACGGAAAGGUCCUGCUUUUGUGGGGUGCUCGAGUGGCGAACGGGUGAGUAACACGUGAGUAACCUGCCCUUGACUUUGGGAUAACUUCAGGAAACUGGGGCUAAUAUCGGAUAGGAGCUCUUGCUGCAUGGGGGGGGUUGGAAAGUUUCGGCGGUUGGGGAUGGACUCGCGGCUUAUCAGCUGGUUGGUGGGGUAGUGGCUUACCAAGGUUUUGACGGGUAGCCGGCCUGAGAGGGUGACCGGCCACAUUGGGACUGAGAUACGGAGCAGAAUCCUACGGGAGGCAGCAGUGGGGAAUAUUGCAGAAUGGGGGGAAGCCUGAUGCAGCGACGCCGCGUGCGGGAUGACGGCUUUCGGGUUGUAAACAGCUUUGGAAUGUGCCGAAGAGUGAGUGACGGUAAUGGGUAAAGAAGCACCGGCUAACUACGUG